AAAGCCAGUUCAUGCUUUUACAGUAUGAAAAUUGGUGAUUUAUAAUAACUUAGCAAAUCGCAAAGUGAAAACAGGCGAUAAAUCAUUCAAGUUUCUGACCUAUCAGCUUUCGACGGUAUGGUAUUGGCUUACCGUGGCAGUGACGGUUAACGGGGGAUUAGGGUUCGAUUCCGGAGAGGGAGCCUGAGAAACGGCUACCACAUCUAAGGAAGGCAGCAGGCGCGCAAAUUACCCAAUUCUAACAGUUUGAGAGAGGUAGUAACAAGAAAUAACAAUACAAGGCAGUUAAAAUGCUUUGUAAUUGGAAUGAUAGAAAUUUAAACCCUUUUUAAAGUAUCAAUUGGAGGGCAAGUCUGGUGCCAGCAGCCGCGGUAAUUCCAGCUCCAAUAGCGUAUAUUAAAAUUGUUGCAGUUAAAAAGCUCGUAGUUGAAGUUCUGCUGAAAGUAACCGGUCUGCUUUUAAUAAAAGUGGUAUCUUGGUAUGUAUUUAGCAAUGAUGUCCUUUGAAGUGUUUUUUACUUUAUUGUAAUAAAGCAUAUUCAGGACUUUUACUUUGAGAAAAUUAGAGUGUUUCUAGCA
rnacentral:rRNA from 1 species